rnacentral:rRNA from 1 species
UACGUAGGGUGCAAGCGUUGUCCGGAAUCAUUGGGCGUAAAGCGCACGUAGGCGGCGCGUUAAGUCGGGUGUGAAAGCCCUGGGCUCAACCCAGGAAGUGCAUUCGAAACUGGCGCGCUUGAAUAUGGAAGAGGGUCGCGGAAUUCCCGGUGUAGAGGUGAAAUUCGUAGAUAUCGGGAGGAACACCAGUGGCGAAGGCGGCGACCUGGGCCAAUAUUGACGCUGAGGUGCGAAAGCGUGGGGAGCAAACAGG